GGGCCGGUAGCUCAGCUUGGUAGAGCACCUCUGACGAUGAGGUGGUCGCGGGUUCAAAUCCCGUCCGGCCCA
rnacentral:tRNA from 1 species